CGGCGGACGGGUGAGUAACACGUGGGUAACCUACCUAUAAGACUGGGACAACUUCGGGAAACCGGAGCUAAUACCGGAUAAGAUAUCGAACCGCAUGGUUCGAUAGUGAAAGAUGGUUUUGCUAUCACUUAUAGAUGGACCCGCGCCGUAUUAGCUAGUUGGUGAGGUAACGGCUCACCAAGGCAACGAUACGUAGCCGACCUGAGAGGGUGAUCGGCCACACUGGAACUGAGACACGGUCCAGACUCCGUACGGGGAGGCAGCAGUC
rnacentral:rRNA from 1 species